rnacentral:lncRNA from 1 species
AACCCAAACCCUAGAAUAGGGGAUCGACACUUUUAGGCUUAGAGUUAUACUUAGACAGCUAGGGUUAGGGUUCAUACCAAAAAUACUUGUAAUCCUUGCUUGUCUACUCAAUAAAGAUCUCUUCAAGUCUCUUUUUCUCUAAUCUCUCAUAAACCCUUACGAAAUACCUAUAAAUCUAUACGAAAGCCAGCAUAUCCAUCGUUCUGUAGUACUCUAAAAGAUCCUACACAAAAAUCCCCUAAUACUGCUAGUCCCUGCUGGUCCCG